UGACUUCCUGGCUUGGCUCGAAUGACUGCUCUAUUAUUCUUAGAUAAAGUCUAUUUAACUCCGCUAGUUCGAGUCCAGUAAAGUUAC
rnacentral:tRNA from 1 species